GCUUGUCUCAAAGAUUAAGCCAUGCAUGUCUAAGUAUAAACUAUUUUAUACUGUGAAACUGCGAAUGGCUCAUUAAAUCAGUUAUAGUUUAUUUGAUGGUACCUUACUACUCGGAUAACCGUGGUAAUUCUAGAGCUAAUACAUGCUGUAAAGCCCGACUUCUCGGAAGGGCCGUAUUUAUUAGAUAACAGACCAAUAUUCCUCGUGUCUAUUGUGGUGAAUCAUAGUAACUGAUCGGAUCGCAUGGGCUACGCCCGCGACAAACCAUUCAAGUUUCUGCCCCAUCAGCUUUCGAUGGUAGUGUAUUGGACUACCAUGGCUUUUACGGGUAACGGAGGAUUAGGGUUCGAUUCCGGAGAGGGAGCCUGAGAAACGGCUACCACAUCUAAGGAAGGCAGCAGG
rnacentral:rRNA from 1 species